UACGAAGGACCCGAGCGUUAUCCGGAUUUAUUGGGUUUAAAGGGUGCGUAGGCGGCCUUACAAGUCAGUGGUGAAAUCUCCCCGCUCAACGGGGAAACUGCCAUUGAAACUAUUUGUCUUGAGUACAUUUGAGGCGGGCGGAAUGUGUCAUGUAGAGGUGAAAUUCUUAGAUAUGACACAGAACACCAAUUGCGAAGGCAGCUCGCUAAACUGUAACUGACGCUGAGGCACGAAAGCGUGGGUAGCAAACAGG
rnacentral:rRNA from 1 species